rfam:Yokenella regensburgei ATCC 43003 genomic scaffold Scfld3, whole genome shotgun sequence.
GGGUGCUUAAGGCUUUCUGUCUUGAGCAUUGGUGAGGGACAGAAAGUAAUAAGCCUCGGGCAAUGUUUCCAUUAACCCGAGGCUACCCUCAACAAAAUCCCUAGCAGGAUGAGGGUAGCCUCUUACUUCACGUAACGCAAGGAGUAAAAGGCAUG